CGAGCCUGGCCGCUCCACACACCCUCACACUUUCACCGUUUAAGAGGAUUGCUCAAGAGAGAUCUUCUGCCCAGAGAAAGCAAGGUACUUUAGCCAUUGUCACACCCACGUGGGACAUGAUGAGAAUUCUUGAGCAAGCGGUAUCAUCAGCAUAUUGGAAAGAAGACAUGAAGUGGACAGCUACCACAAGGGGGAACUUGAAAGAGGACACAGCUAUUCAAGAGCACUUGCCUGCCCACUGGGAUUCUUGUUCUCAAAGCAGCUGUUACUUUUCCUGCGAAACAUUUACUCUCAGCUUAAUGACUGAUCUCUGUGAUUUUUCUGGAUGUAUCUCCUUACUAGCAUAGGGAACUUAAAGGUGUCCUCAGGGGCUUUGAUUUUAGUUAAUUCCAGAUGUAAUCAAGAUGACAACCAAGAUUAGCCAGCACAGGAC